rnacentral:sRNA from 1 species
GUCGCUGGGUGGCCCGGGUGGCCUCGGAAAGUCCUGAGGCUAAGGGUACUGGAGACACUUGAAGAGAUAGGGUUGUCUGGGCGAGCAGGGAUGUUCAUAAACUUGAGCCCAAGGUCUCUGCACCACUGGAUUCUGCCUUUCAGAAUAAGGAUGAUGUCACCCAGACGCCCACAGCUCUGACAUGGAAGUGUGGGCCUUCUGCAGACUCAGACCAUCAGAGUGACACACCAGUGAGGCAGCAGAGGACGCCAUUCUCUCCAAGGAUCUCAAGGCCUGAGUGUUGACAUUUGUGUGGCCAGACAUUUGUUUACCAUGGAGGGCAAGAGAGCCUGUUUAUCAUUUGUCCUGUGACAUCAUACUAUACUAACAUCCUGUGACUUCACACUAUACUUAUGUCCUGUGACAUCAUACUAUAUUAAUGUCCUCUCUCCCCCAACUCUAUCUUCCUUUAAUAAUACCUCACAAAAAUGUCCCUAUAAACAUGGACACACUUACCCACUCUUGUGGCUUCCAGAAACUUGCGUCCAAUGUCUCCUGUGCUUCUUGGGCUAGCUAGUUCAGGUCAACUUGAUACCAGCUAGAGCCAUUUGGGAAGAGGGACUCCGACUGAGAAAACGCCCUGGCCUACAGGUGAGGUGAUCCUGAGUUGUAUAAGAAAGCUGAAUGGGCAAGCCAUCAGGAGCAAACCAGAGAGCAGCACUCCUCCAUGGCCUCCGCAUCAGUUCCUGCCUUGUGUUUCUUCCCUGACUUUUCUGGACUGUGUACUACCAUCAUACCUGUAAGAUGAAAUAAGCCUUCUCCUCCCCAGCUGGCUUUUGGUUAUGGCGUUUCAUCACAGAAAUAGAAACCCUAACUAUGACACUUCGAUUUGGAUUACAUCAUCAAGGUGCAUCUACCUGCAUCUUCUUCGAUGUCCCCGCACUCGAUUUCCGUGCCCCACCUGUUGCCUUUCCUGUACUCUUAGGCAUCACCACCCUUUAUACAAUCGGAGUGCACCUCUCCCCACACCUUGCCUACUCCCUCCCUAGCUCCAUUCCACCCUAGUAGCCCCAAGCCACCUCCUUCCAAGGUAGUGAUGACAAUACUUCAUGCUCUGCUCACCCUGCUCAUUUCAACAGCCUUUUGCCCGCGUGCAGGAGCUUGCCCAUACGCAAACAGCCUACCAGCUCACAUGCAAAUCUAGUACUCCGUUCCCUGGUUUUUCAUAAAGACCUGCAUGAUGGGGUAUUGGUCUGCUUAUGCUUAUGCUUAUGCUUCCCCUCGUUACUUUGGACAAUGGUUGCCUUACAGGCAAUCUGUGUGCUUACCUUCCUUUCACACAACCGUGACCGAGCUCUGGGUCUUUGCUGGUUCUGUCCAGUCUACAGAGAAGAUUAUUCUAUCCCCAUGCCCCCAUUGCUCAUCUCUAGCUCAGUCUUCCUUCAGACUUCAAUCUGCAAGCAACUUCCAAAGUCUCCCAAUAAUCCUGCUCCCAAGGGCUCCAUGCUGCUUAUGUCCGGUCUACACCUGUAUUUCUGAACUGUGGAUUUUAUUGCAUGGAUGUACAGCGGUCCUCAUUGGUGCUCCCCACUCACAUUCCUUUCCGAUGGUCACCGUUGAAAUCGCAUCCCAGACCCUGGGAUACUAUGCGUAUGUUGUGUGAAUAAAUGAAAGCACAUCA